GGCUCAGUGGUCUAGUGGUAUGAUUCGCGCUUCGGGUGGUUAUCCCGCUGCUUGUCAACAGACUACAAAUGUGCGAGGUCUCGGGUUCGAUCCCCGACUGAGCCC